UACAGAGGGUGCAAGCGUUGCUCGGAAUUACUGGGCGUAAAGCGUGUGUAGGCGGUCCUUCAAGUGGGGUGUGAAAGCCCUAGGCUCAACCUAGGAACUGCGCCCCAAACUGGAGGACUUGAGUGUCGGAGAGGAUAGUGGAAUUCCCAGUGUAGAGGUGAAAUUCGUAGAUAUUGGGAGGAACACCAGUGGCGAAGGCGGCUAUCUGGACGAACACUGACGCUGAGACACGAAAGCGUGGGGAGCAAACAGG
rnacentral:rRNA from 1 species